rnacentral:sRNA from 1 species
GCCAUAUUGUGAGCAGAUGCCAAUCUUGCAGUCCCAUUCCAUCCCUAGUAUCACCUCCGGUGCACGAUAGAAGUCAGGCAUCACAUCACCCAGAUGCUUUCUUUCGCCAAUCCUAGCCCCUCCAAAGUCACAAAGAACUGGCGUGCCAUCGGUUAUGGGCAUAGAAUGGGACCGAUAGAUGGUACGGUCCCGAAGGACUUUGCGAGCGCUAGGAUGAUCUAACUCAGAUUGCUCGAUUUUGGAAAACACAGAGGGGCUCCGGGCACCUAAAACGAUAUUGUUAGGCG